AUACUAACCUGACAGGGGAGAUACCAUGAUCAUGAAGGUGGUUCACCCAGGGCGAGGCUCAGCCAUUGCACUUCGGUUGUGCUGACCUGUGCGAACUCCCCAAAUGUGGGAAUCUUGACUGCAUAAUUUGUGGUAGUGGGGGACUGCGUCCGCGCUCUCCCCUG